GAUGAACGCUAGCGGCAGGCCUAACACAUGCAAGUCGAGGGGCAUCAUGGCGUAGCAAUACGCUGAUGGCGACCGGCGCACGGGUGCGUAACGCGUAUGGAACCUACCCACCGCAGGGGGAUAACCCGCCGAAAGGCGGACUAAUACCCCAUGGUUCCCCGACCCUGCCUGGGGUUGGGGGUAAAGCCUACGGGCGGCGGUGGAUGGCCCUGCGUGCCAUUAGCUGGCUGGUGGGGUAACGGCCCACCAGGGCGACGAUGGCUAGGGGGUCUGAGAGGACGAUCCCCCACACUGGUACUGAGACACGGACCAGACUCCUACGGGAGGCAGCAGUGAGGAAUAUUGGUCAAUGGGCGCAAGCCUGAACCAGCCAUCCCGCGUGCAGGAAGACGGCCCUAUGGGUUGUAAACUGCUUUUCCAGGGAGAGAACUUACGCACGUGUUGCGUGACUGACGGUACCCUGGGAAUAAGCAUCGGCUAACUCCGUGCCAGCAGCCGCGGUAAU
rnacentral:rRNA from 1 species